AUUGAACGCUGGCGGCAGGCUUAACACAUGCAAGUCGAGCGGGCGAGGUUGCUUCGGUAACUGAGCUAGCGGCGGACGGGUGAGUAAUGCUUAGGAAUCUGCCUAUUAGUGGGGGACAACAUUCCGAAAGGAAUGCUAAUACCGCAUACGCCCUACGGGGGAAAGCAGGGGAUCUUCGGACCUUGCGCUAAUAGAUGAGCCUAAGUCAGAUUAGCUAGUUGGUGGGGUAAAGGCCUACCAAGGCGACGAUCUGUAGCGGGUCUGAGAGGAUGAUCCGCCACACUGGGACUGAGACACGGCCCAGACUCCUACGGGAGGCAGCAGUGGGGAAUAUUGGACAAUGGGCGCAAGCCUGAUCCAGCCAUGCCGCGUGUGUGAAGAAGGCCUUUUGGUUGUAAAGCACUUUAAGCGAGGAGGAGGCUACCGAGAUUAAUACUCUUGGAUAGUGGACGUUACUCGCAGAAUAAGCACCGGCUAACUCUGUGCCAGCCGCCGCCGUAA
rnacentral:rRNA from 1 species